rnacentral:sRNA from 1 species
GCCUCAGUCGGCCCCCUGGCUUCAAGACACAUCAAGGUCCCUGCUACCCGAGCCAAGGACACUUCUCCCCCAGUGGUUCCCCACCCUGCUCCCAGCAAGACUCCUUGUCACGGGUGGUCUUGCAUAGCUGGAGCCCAUAGUGCAGCAGGUGCUGGCUGAGGAGCCCCUGGCUCCACACUGCCCCACUCCUGACCGGGGUGAUGCACUGGAGGAGGGCUUGGACCUCAGCUCCUCCCCCAACGCUCCCGACCACUUCCAGGGACUAUCCCCAAGCUGGCCAGCACCCCGGGGCCCCAAGAGGAGUGUUUGGGGUGCUUCCUCUUGGCUGCAGUGGGAAACAGGUGUGCCUUCCUAGGAACUGGGCCCUGACUACUUCCAGCCCAACACUCCCGGGCCUGUGAACUGUGACCUGUGUGCCGGGAUGGGUUUUGUGGGUCUGCCCCAUCCCCCCACUGCUGGAUCUGGCCAAGUGGGUGAAGGCUAAGGCCAGUCAGAGUUGAGUCUCUGCCUUGUCCCCUCUCCUGGGCUAGAUGCCACACCAGGCCCAGUGACUCAUAGGGCAGGCAGUUGGGAAAUACCAGGCAGAGGGCAGGUCCUGGUCUCAGCUGGCCAGCCUCUGCUGUCUGCCAUCCCAGGGGAGGUGGCCAAAGUCCCAACUGUGAGCCAGGCCCCAUAUUCACUGGGCCUCCUCCAGGGUCUGUAUGCCAUGGAACCCUGGACAUGGGGCUAUGAAGGAAGGUGGGUGUUGGUAAGCCCAGGAGCACGGGCCCCUAACCUUGGCCCUGUGCCCCAGGUGAGGCUGGUGCCAAGUUCAUUGAGGUAUCUAAAGAGGCCCGGAAGCGGUUCCUGGGCCCCCUGCACCCCUCCUUCAACCUGGUAAAGAUCAUCCGCAGUUUCCUGCUGAAGGUCCUGCCUGCUGAUAGCCAUGAGCAUGCCAGUGGGCGCCUGGGCAUCUCCCUGACCCGCGUGUCGGACGGCGAGAAUGUCAUUAUAUCCCACUUCAACUCCAAGGACGAGCUCAUCCAGGCCAACGUCUGCAGCGGUUUCAUCCCCGUGUACUGUGGGCUCAUCCCUCCCUCCCUCCAGGGGGUGCGCUACGUGGAUGGUGGCAUUUCAGACAACCUGCCACUCUAUGAGCUUAAGAACACCAUCACAGUGUCCCCCUUCUCGGGCGAGAGUGACAUCUGUCCGCAGGACAGCUCCACCAACAUCCACGAGCUGCGGGUCACCAACACCAGCAUCCAGUUCAACCUGCGCAACCUCUACCGCCUCUCUAAGGCCCUCUUCCCGCCGGAGCCCCUGGUGCUGCGAGAGAUGUGCAAGCAGGGGUACCGGGAUGGCCUGCGCUUCCUGCAGCGGAACGGUGCGCGGACCCGGGCGGGAGAGGGCGGGGUGGGCUUGGCUCUGCUGCCCCCGCUUCCUGCGGCGGAACGAUGCGCGGACCCGGGCGGGAGAGGGAGGGGUGAGCUCGGCUCUGCUACCCCUUGCGGGCCGCGGCCGCGCUGAUGAACUGGGAAUCCCUUCUCUCCCCCACCCCAGGCCUCCUGAACCGGCCCAACCCCUUGCUGGCGUUGCCCCCCUCCCGCCCCCAAGGCCCAGAGGACGAGGACGAGGCAGUGGAGAGCGCCCAAGCGGAGGAUUACUCGCAGCUGCCCGGAGAAGAUCACAUCCUGGAGCACCUGCCCGCCCGGCUCAAUGAGGGUGCGCACCUCGGGACGGGAGGGGAGGAGGGAAAGAGAGAGGAGAGGACGAUGAGCGGGGGAGGGAAGCCGAGCGGGUCCUGGGCUCCGCUGCCUCCACUGGCCGCCGACCUCUCGCCCACCCGCAGCCCUGCUGGAGGCCUGCGUGGAGCCCACGGACCUGCUGACCACCCUCUCCAACAUGCUGCCCGUGCGUCUGGCCACGGCCAUGAUGGUGCCCUACACGCUGCCGCUGGAGAGCGCUCUGUCCUUCACCAUCCGCUUGCUGGAGUGGCUGCCCGACGUUCCCGAGGACAUCCGGUGGAUGAAGGAGCAGACGGGCAGCAUCUGCCAGUACCUGGUGAUGCGCGCCAAGAGGAAGCUGGGCAGGCACCUGCCCUCUAGGCUGCCGGAGCAGGUGGAGCUGCGCCGCGUCCAGUCGCUGCCGUCCGUGCCGCUGUCCUGCGCCGCCUACAGCGAGGCACUGCCCGGCUGGAUGCGCAACAACCUCUCGCUGGGGGAGGCGCUGGCGAAGUGGGAGGAGUGCCAGCGCCAGCUGCUGCUCGGCCUCUUCUGCACCAACGUGGCCUUCCCGCCCGAAGCUCUGCGCAUGCGCGCCCCCGCCGACCGCGCCCCCGCCGACCCCGCCCCCGCGGACCCAGCGUCCCCGCAGCACCCGCCGGGCCUGCCCCCUUGCUGAGCACCCCUGCUCCCGAGGCCAGGCCCGUGAUCGGGGCCCUGGGGCUGCGAGACCCCGACCCUCUCGAGGAACCCUGCCUGAGAUGCCUCCAUUACCACUGCGCAGUGAGAUGAGGAGACUCACAGUUGCCAAGAGGGGCCUUUGCCGUGGGCACCCUCGCCAGCCACUCACCAGCUGCACUGAGAGGGGAGGUUUCCACACCUCUCCCCUGGGCCGCUGAGGCCCCGCGCACCUGUGCCUUGAUCUUCCCUCCCCUGUGCUGCCCGAGCACCUCCCCCGCCCCUUUACUCCCGAGAACUUUGCAGCUGCCCUUCCCUCCCCAUUUUUCAUGCCCUGCAGAAAUAGGUGUGUGAAGAAUUAUUUAUUUUUGCCAAAGCACAUGUAAUAAAUGCUGCAGCCCAGC